CUACGUGCCAGCAGCCGCGGUAAUACGUAGGUGGCAAGCGUUGUCCGGAAUUAUUGGGCGUAAAGCGCGCGCAGGCGGAUUGGUCAGUCUGUCUUAAAAGUUCGGGGCUUAACCCCGUGAUGGGAUGGAAACUGCCAAUCUAGAGUAUCGGAGAGGAAAGUGGAAUUCCUAGUGUAGCGGUGAAAUGCGUAGAUAUUAGGAAGAACACCAGUGGCGAAGGCGACUUUCUGGACGAAAACUGACGCUGRGGCGCGAAAGCCAGGGGAGCGAACGGGAUUAGAUACCCCGGUAGUCCUGGCCGUAAACGAUGGGUACUAGGUGUAGGAGGUAUCGACCCCUUCUGUGCCGGAGUUAACGCAAUAAGUACCCCGCCUGGGGAGUACGACCGCAAGGUUGAAACUCAAAGGAAUUGACGGGGGCCCGCACAAGCGGUGGAGUAUGUGGUUUAAUUCGACGCAACGCGAAGAACNUUACCAGGUCUUGACAU
rnacentral:rRNA from 1 species